AAUAAGUUUCUGUUGUUGAAAAAAAUUUGGGGGGGGGUGGUAUUCUUUAAAACCACAACUUCAUUGUAAAAUGGGUGGAUCCUGAGGUUCUCAGAAGGUCCUUUCCUUUAGCUGAAGACCUUUGAUGGGUUUGGGAUCUGAAAGCUAAGCCUGGAGUUUAGGUGAAAGGAGGGUUAAAUAAAUUUUCAUAGGUUUUCUUAAGAGAGGCAGGAACUUGGGGUCCUUGGGGUUUUCCAGGAGUGGCGGGGGGCUGAGGAGCUGAGAUGGGGAGGACACAAAGGGAAAGAGGAGGUAGCAUAGUGGUGAGAAGUCAAGGUCCUUUGUCAGGUGGCAGGGCCAGUAAAAGUCCUAGUGAUGCAGUGGCUAAAAUGAUUAUAGAAACUGAGGCCUACACUUGUUAGCUGAAACCCUCAGGUUUUUUUUUGCAAAAUCUCUGUUCUAGUAUCAAUGUAUUCAUGUUUUUAAUUUUCACAAAUUUUUCUUAAGAUUGCAAUUAGCUUCACCACAUCAAUAAUUAUUUAAAUCUAAAUGUAAAUUAAAAUGUUCACCACUGUUUCCCCUACAUUACACAUCUUUCAUUUUCUUCAGCUUUUCAUGUUAUUAUAAUUUGGCUUAGCUGGAGUAAGUAUGUGCUUAAAAAGUUUUUCCCCCAGAAAAAGUUGACAAUAAACUUUCUAAGUCUUUGCUUCUUUAUUUUGUUU